rnacentral:lncRNA from 1 species
GGGAUCUCUUUCCUGUAACACUAACAUGGGCGUGAUGCUCGAGUGGCAUAGACUGCUUUACAGAUGCGAGGGUGAACACCAAUACGAAGUAUGGAAGAGCAGAAAACCAGGAGACAUCUGGGUCCCUGAGGCCACUAUGGAGCUGCACUAGUGGCAUUGGACUGCUCACCUCUAGACUUUUUAAGGUGAGAAAAAUAAAGCCAGUAAUUUGUUGUUUAAUCUGCUGUUUUUUGGAUCCUUUUUUUUUUUGCAGCUUAACAAUAUUUAUUAAGUGAUAAGCUCACAGGGUUGAGGAUCAAAAGAGAACCAUCUAUGUGAAGAGUAUAAAACAGUUCUUGACACACAGGAAGUGGCCAGUCAAUGAUAACUAUUAUUUUUGGGAGAUUAUCUGACUACCAGCAGAGAACAAAAAUCAAACAGAAUAAACAACUUGGGAAGGGAAGAAAAGGGCUGAACAGAAGUGAUGAUAGGGUGAUAAAAAAUUCAGAAUCAUAGAGCCAAACAAGGUACAUAAGUGGUCUGACAUAUAGUACAUAAUCAAUAUGUAUAAUUCCUUUUCCUAUCCUAUCUGUGAGAACACAAACUAAUGCCAUUUAGUCACGAGAACCUUGAUCAACAAGGAAGACCAGACUAACCAAGAAGAUUUUAGGACUCUGAGAAGUAAAGAUUGUAUUUAUAAGGUUAUUUAUAUUUGAGCGAGACAUUCCACUCAAUGUCUCUUUUAUUCCUGCUUAUGUAAUACUGUCAAGAUAUAAAUCAAAGAAAUACACAAAAGAGAUACUGAUAAACAAAAUGUCACUAAAAAAGAUGGCACAGAUUGGUCAGCCAUCUUAAUGACUCAUUAAUGGCUUAAUGACUCAUUAAGCCAUCUUAAUGACCUUAAUACUAGGUCCUAGAGGAAUAGAAAGUUGCUAAAUAGAAAAAUCUAUUUUGAAACCAAAUUGUUCAUAACAUUUGUCAAUCCACAGAAAUAAUACAAUAGAAUUUGAACAAAUGGGCAGAGAACUCAACAUAUUUAACUUCAGAAAUGCACCAGAAAAAAAAAAAAAAGUAUGGCUGGGCACAGUGGCUCAUGCCUGCAAUCCCAGCACUUUGGGAGGCCGAGGCAGGUGGAUCACGAGGUCAAGAGAUUAAGACCAUCCUGGCCAACACAGUGAAACCCCAUCUCUACUAAAAAUACAAAAAUUAGCUGGGCAUGGUGGCGCACGCCUGUAGUGCCAGCUACUUGGGAGGCUGAAGCAGGAGAAUUGCUUGAACCCGGGAGGCGGAGGUUGCAGUGAGUGAGAUUGUGCCAUUGCACUCCAGCCUGGCGACAGAGCGAGACUCCUUCUCGGAAAAAAAAAAAAAAGAAAAAAAAGUAUGAUGAAAAGAAAACAUGUGAAGAGCUGGAAAAGUAGGACCAGAUCAGAGAAUAAUGUUUACAAUAUGUGGGAAAGGAAAAAAAGUCGAUAUUUGUGGUCACCUUGAAAGGAAUUUAUGACAAUGUAGUACCUGAUUCCAAUUCAACAAAAGCUGGAGAGUUUAAAAAAACUAUGAAAAUACAGUCUUUCUUUUUUGUUUUUUUAAAAAAAGACUUAAAUACUAGACACUGAUAUGACCUAGAGAAGAGCAAUUGAUGAAGAAAAAUCUGUAAUGAUUAACAUGAAGUCACUGCUCAAUGUAAAUACCAAGGGAAGAUGAAGUAAAAAGAAAAGAACUGAAAGGCAACAAAUCACAGACUACAACUAUUGUAUUUUCAAAAUUGUAUUAGGUAUCACUACAUAAAGUAAAAACUCUUAA